rnacentral:rRNA from 1 species
UACGUAGGGUGCGAGCGUUAAUCGGAAUUACUGGGCGUAGAGCGUGCGCAGGCGGUUAUUUAAGUCAGGUGUGAAAGCCCUGGGCUUAACCUAGGAAUUGCGCUUGAGACUGGAUAGCUUGGAGUGCGGCAGAGGGAGGUGGAAUUCCACGUGUAGCAGUGAAAUGCGUAGAGAUGUGGAGGAACACCGAUGGCGAAGGCAGCCUCCUGGGCCAGCACUGACGCUCAUGCACGAAAGCGUGGGGAUCAAACAGG